UUUUCUACUCGAGUCAUGGUUUCUCAUUUACAGGAUUUUGCAGUGCAAAAUCGGACGGUGAUUACAAACAUCCCAACAGCUGUGGUGAGCACAUCAAGUGCAGCAAUGGAAUGGCCCACGUGUUUGAUUGUCCAGUAAACCUCGUGUGGCAUGACGGACUGAAACGCUGUGAAUACGUCAGCGACGAUGCUGCUUGUAAUAAUCCAGGCCCUUUCUCUUGUGUGGGACGCCCGAGUGGUAACUAUGCCUACCCAGGUGACUGUAACAAAUUCUACAUGUGUUCCAACGAACACAAAUGGGCCAUGGAUUGUCCAGCCACGACCCACUAUGAUGUUUCGCUCAAGGUAUGCAACCACGUCGUGGAUGCGAAUUGCGUACUGUAAUGUGGAUAUUGCCAAGACCCCGACCAGCGUUUCAUCAGUAUUCCUUGUACUACCUGCAAUGUUGACCAUUCAAUAAACUGAUUUUCGGUUUUA